rnacentral:rRNA from 1 species
UACAGAGGUCCCAAGCGUUGUUCGGAUUCACUGGGCGUAAAGCGUGCGUAGACGGUAGCGUAAGUCGGGUGUGAAGCCCGGGCUCAACCUGGGAAUGCAUUCGAGACUGCUCUGCUAGGUGCGGAAGAGGGAAGCGGAAUUUCCGGAUGUAGCGGUGAAAUGCGUAGAUAUCGGAAGGAACACCAGUGGCGAAAGCGGCUUCCUGGUCCAGCACCGACGUCAGGCACGAAAGCGUGGGGAGCAAACAGG